UUCCCGAUUUUAAAGGAGUUAAUGGUUUAUUUUAGUUGUUGUUUCAUUAACAUUAAGGAUAGGCUGUUGGUAGUGAAAUGUUAUUCGUCUUUGGUGGUUUCUGGUUUUUCAAGAAAUGAAUUCAAUUCAUGUGUCUUGUUUAGAUUUUUAUUGUUAUUUAUUUGUCUUUACUUGGCACUAAGAUUAUGGGGGAUUAGCUCCUUAUUUUAUUUUUAUAAUUUUUUGUUAAUUUAGUUUUGUGGAUUUUAUAGUGAUUUUCAACUUGAUUAUGUUAAAGUUUUAUUUUUCUUCUUCUUUAUUUUUGUUUAUUUAUUUUGUUUAUUGAAGUGUUUCCUUUAUUUUCUAUUGGACUGUAAUUAUUGUGGAAUUAGUAAAUUUUGUUUUUUACGUUGUUUUGGUGUUUGAGUGUUUAAUUUCUUUUGAGGAAUUAGGCAAAUCUUGUGUCCGCCUGUUUAACAAAAACAUCUUUUCUUGUUAGUUUUUGAAGUAUGGCCUGCCCGCUGACUUUUGUUGAAGGGCCGCGGUAUUUUGACCGUGCAAAGGUAGCAUAAUCAUUAGUUCUUUAAUUGUGAUCUGGAAUGAAUGGCUUGACGAGAUGCAAGCUGUCUUAAAUUUGAAUGUUUUAUUGAAUUUGGUUUUUGAGUUAAAAUUCUUAGAUGUUUUUAUGGGACGAGAAGACCCUAUAGAGUUUGACAUGUUGAUUUGCUUGUUUAUUUGUAGUUUGUUUAUUUUUAAUAAGUGAAUCUUGUGUUUUGUUGGGGUGAUGAGAGGAAUAUAAUUUAACUCCUCUUGGUUUAGUGGUUAUAUUGAUUUAUAUUUAUUUGUC
rnacentral:rRNA from 1 species